rnacentral:rRNA from 1 species
AUUGAACGCUGGCGGAAUGCUUUACACAUGCAAGUCGAACGGCAGCAUAGAGAGCUUGCUCUCUGAUGGCGAGUGGCGAACGGGUGAGUAAUAUAUCGGAACGUACCUAGUAAUGGGGAACAACUAGCCGAAAGGUUAGCUAAUACCGCAUACGACCUACGGGUGAAAGCAGGGGAUCUUCGGACCUUGCGUUAUUAGAGCGGCCGAUAUCUGAUUAGGUAGUUGGUGGGGUAAAAGCCUACCAAGCCAACGAUCAGUAGCUGGUCUGAGAGGACGAUCAGCCACACUGGAACUGAGACACGGUCCAGACUCCUACGGGAGGCAGCAGUGGGGAAUUUUGGACAAUGGGGGCAACCCUGAUCCAGCCAUUCCGCGUGAGUGAAGAAGGCCUUCGGGUUGUAAAGCUCUUUCACAAGAGAAGAAAUCUUACUAUCAAAUAAAUAGUAAGGAUGACGGUAUCUUGAGAAGAAGCACCGGCUAACUACGUGCCAGCAGCCGCGGUAAUACGUAGGGUGCGAGCGUUAAUCGGAAUUACUGGGCGUAAAGCGUGCGCAGGCGGUUUUAUAAGUCAGAUGUGAAAUCCCCGAGCUCAACUUGGGAACUGCGUUUGAAACUGUAAGACUAGAGUGUGUCAGAGGGGGGUAGAAUUCCAUGUGUAGCAGUGAAAUGCGUAGAUAUAUGGAGGAAUACCAAUGGCGAAGGCAGCCCCCUGGGAUAACACUGACGCUCAGCAC